UCGUAACGGUCAAAACAAAGAAUUCUCUGUGCAAUUAAAUAUUAAAAUCCUAAUAAUUGAACAAUGUGAGUGUGAUAAAGCGGACACUUUGUUUCUUUGCGGAAUUUAUCAUCAACAUCUGCAUUCCAAGUCUUAUUAUUACGGAGCUACAAACGAAAAUUACAGUCAACAAUUGUCGAUCAUAUGAGUGUUGGAAAUUCUCAACAAUCGUAAAGGCGAAAAUAUUUACAUACAUUGUCAGCCAUCUUGAAAAGUCGUAUUGAAAAUUUUCACAUCAAAAUUUUGGAGUAAUCUGCUUGUGACUAGACAUUUUGCUCCCUUGCGGAAUUUAACAUCAGUAUCUGCAUUCCAAGCGGCUACAGACGACAAUAAUAUUCAACAAUUGGACGUUUCAAUGAUUGUUGUAAAUUCUGAAUAAUUGUGUGACUGCGUAAAUAUUCUUAACAUUGGCAGCCAUCUUGGAAAAUGGAAUCGGAGAUUUCUCCCUGUAAUGAAAUGACAAAAUCAUAAUUUUUUAGUAAUCAGCGUGUGGCCAAGCAGACAUUUUGUUCCUCUGUGGAAUUUAUCAUCAAUAUCUGCAUUCCAAGCAGGAUUUUCACGAAUCUGCCGACAAAUACAUUCGACAAUUGGUCAUUUUAAUAAGCAUUGGAAAUACGCAACAAACGUGGCUGUGUAAAUAUUCACAAACAUUGGCAGCCAUCUUGGAAAGUGGAAUCGAAGAUUUCUCCUUUUCUGUCAUUCGUCCGCCAUUUUUUCAUGGAGAUACAAAGGACAAUUGCUUUGUUCAUUGUCGAACAUUACACAAAGAGAAUCGUAAAUCCCCAUCAAUAGUUACGAUCGAAUCCGUUGCCUCAAAAAUAUUUCUU